GCGACCUUACUUGAACAGGAUCUGUUUUAUAGGAUCGUAUCAAUGCAUCCUUGGAGGCAAGCACUUAAGUCUGGUCGUUGCUUCCUUGCUCAGGCUGGGAUGGCUUACAGGUUGUCCGACAGGCU
rnacentral:snoRNA from 7 species